CUUUCAAGAAAUGUCAUUAUCACAUUCCUGUCUUCAGAUGAGGAAGUGGAGCCAAAUGGAAAGCUAAUCGUUAAGACCAACGUGUCACUUUUGGGAAACUCUUGUGGAGGUAGCCAAAGUUUCUACCACGGGUGAGCAUUUGCCUUGAAAGGAAUGAGCUGGUUGAGAGAUGAGGAAGCUGAAGGAAGGAAUAUCUUUCCAGAUCUCAGAUUCUAGGAAUACAGCACUAGGAUGCCCAGCCACGUAGUCAGGGAGUACAGCAACACGAGUGGUCCAGACCUACAGAGCUCUUGCCACUAGAGAAGCAUUUCCCUCCGUGGAGUAGCUCGAAGCGGUACUUACAUGGAGCAGCUCUGGAUUCAACAUACAGUUUGGAGCUGAGCUCAGCCUAG
rnacentral:lncRNA from 1 species